rnacentral:rRNA from 1 species
UAGGGAAUCUUCCACAAUGGGCGCAAGCCUGAUGGAGCAACGCCGCGUGAGUGAGGAAGGCUUUCGGGUCGUAAAGCUCUGUUGCCAGGGAAGAACGCUUGGGAGAGUAACUGCUCUCAAGGUGACGGUACCUGAGAAGAAAGCCCCGGCUAACUACGUGCCAGCAGCCGCGGUAAUACGUAGGGGGCGAGCGUUGUCCGGAAUUAUUGGGCGUAAAGAGCGCGCAGGCGGUUUGUUAAGUCUACCGUGAAAGCUUACGGCUCAACCGUAACGGGUCGGUGGAUACUGGCAGACUUGAGGGCAGGGAGAGGAAAGUGGAAUUCCCAGUGUAGCGGUGAAAUGCGUAGAGAUUGGGAGGAACACCAGUGGCGAAGGCGACUUUCUGGACUGCAACUGACGCUGAGGCGCGAAAGCUGGGGGAGUGGAACGGGAUUAGAUACCCCGGUAAUCCCAGCCGUAAACGAUGGGUACUAGGGUGUAGGAGGUAUCGACCCUUCUGUGCCGGAGUUAACGCAAU